rnacentral:rRNA from 1 species
GAUGAACGCUGGCGGCGUGCUUAACACAUGCAAGUCGAACGGAAAGGCUCCUGCUUGCAGGGGUACUCGAGUGGCGAACGGGCGAGUAACACGUGGGUGAUCUGCCCUGCACUUCGGGAUAAGCCUGGGAAACUGGGUCUAAUACCGGAUAGGACGAUGGUUUGGAUGUCAUUGUGGAAAGUUUUUCGGUGUGGUAUGAGCUCGUGGCCUAUCAGCUUGUUGUUGGGGUAAUGGCCUACCACGGCGUCGACGGGUAGCCGGCCUGAGAGGGGGUACGGCCACAUUGGGACUGAGAUACGGCCCAGACUCCUACGGGAGGCAGCAGUGGGGAAUAUUGCACGAUGGGCGCAAGCCUGAUGCAGCGACGCCGCGUGGGGGAUGACGGCCUUCGGGUUGUAAACUCCUUUCGCUAGGGACGAAGCGCAAGUGACGGUACCUGGAGAAGAAGCACCGGCUAACUACGUG